GACGUAGGGCGCGAGCGUUGUCCGGAUUUAUUGGGCGUAAAGAGCUCGUAGGCGGCUUGUUGCGUCGACCGUGAAAACCCGCGGCUUAACUGCGGGCUUGCGGUUGAUACGGGCGGGCUGGAGUUCGGUAGGGGAGACUGGAAUUCCUGGUGUAGCGGUGAAAUGCGCAGAUAUCGGGAGGAACACCAAUUGCGGAGGCAGCUCGCUGGGACGUUACUGACGCUGAGACGCGAAAGCGUGGGGAGCAAACGGG
rnacentral:rRNA from 1 species